rnacentral:SRP_RNA from 1 species
GCCGGGCGCGGUGGCGCGUGCCUGUAGUCCCAGCUACUCGGGAGGCUGAGGUGGGAGGGUUGCUUGAGCCCAGGAGUUCUGGGCUGUAGUGCACUAUGCCGAUUGGGUGUCUGCACAGUUAGGCAUCAAUAUGGUGACCUCCCAGGAGCGGGGGACCACAAGGUUGCCUAAGGAGGGGUGAACCAGCCCAGGUCUGAAACGGAGCAGGUCAAACCUUCCGUGCUGAUCAGUAGUAGGAUCGCGCCUGUGAAUAGCCACUGCACUCCAGCCUGGGCAACACAGCGAGACCCCGUCUCU